CGAACGCUGGCGGCGUGCCUAAUACAUGCAAGUUGAGCGCUGAAGGUUGGUACUUGUACCACCUGGAUGAGCAGCGAACGGGUGAGUAACGCGUGGGGAAUCUGCCUUUGAGCGGGGGACAACAUUUGGAAACGAAUGCUAAUACCGCAUAAAAACUUUAAACACAAGUUUUAAGUUUGAAAGAUGCAAUUGCAUCACUCAAAGAUGAUCCCGCGUUGUAUUAGCUAGUUGGUGAGGUAAAGGCUCACCAAGGCGAUGAUACAUAGCCGACCUGAGAGGGUGAUCGGCCACAUUGGGACUGAGACACGGCCCAAACUCCUACGGGAGGCAGCAGUAGGGAAUCUUCGGCAAUGGACGGAAGUCUGACCGAGCAACGCCGCGUGCGUGAAGAAGGUUUUCGGAUCGUAAAACUCUGUUGGUAGGGAAGAACGUUGGUGAGAGUGGAAAGCUCAUCAAGUGACGGUAACUACCCAGAAAGGGACGGCUAACUACGUG
rnacentral:rRNA from 1 species